rnacentral:rRNA from 1 species
UACGUAGGGUGCGAGCGUUGUCCGGAAUUAUUGGGCGUAAAGAGCUUGUAGACGGUUUGUCGCGUCUGCUGUGAAAUCUCAAGGCUCAACCUUGAGCUUGCAGUGGGUACGGGCAGACUAGAGUGUGGUAGGGGUAAAGGGAAUUUCCAGUGGAGCGGUGAAAUGCGUAGAGAUUGGAAAGAACACCGAUGGCGAAGGCACUUUACUGGGCUAUUACUAACACUCAGAGACGAAAGCUAGGGUAGCAAAUGGG